UAACCUGGUCUGUUACUGACGCUCAGGCACGAAAGCGUGGGGAGCAAAUAGGAUUAGAUACCCUAGUAGUCCACGCCCUAAACGAUGAUUACUAAAUGUUGGGGAAACUCAGUGUUGCAGCUAACGCAAUAAGUAAUCCGCCUGGGGAGUAUGCACGCAAGUGUGAAACUUAAAGGAAUUGACGGGGCCCCGCACAAGCGGUGGAGUAUGCGGUUUAAUUCGACGCAACGCGAAGAACCUUACCAGGCCUUGACAUCCCUUGCAAAACCAUAGAGAUAUGGCAGAGGUUAUCAAGGUGACAGGUGGUGCAUGGUUGUCGUCAGCUCGUGUCGUGAGAUGUUGGGUUAAGUCCCGCAACGAGCGCAACCCCUGUCUUUAGUUACCAUCAUUCAGUUGGGGACUCUAGAGAGACUGCCGGUGAUAAACCGGAGGAAGGUGGGGAUGACGUCAAAUCAUCAUGCCCUUUAUGGCCUGGGCUACACGCGUCCUACAAUGGCGUAUACAAAAAGAUGCAAUACAGCGAUGUGGAGCAAAACUCUAAAAUACGUCUCAGUUCGGAUCGUAGUCUGCAACCCGACUACGUGAAGUUGGAAUCGCUAG
rnacentral:rRNA from 1 species